GAUGAACGCUGGCGGCGUGCCUAAUACAUGCAAGUCGAGCGAACAGACGAGGAGCUUGCUCCUCUGACGUUAGCGGCGGGCGGGUGAGUAACACGUGGAUAACCUACCUAUAAGACUGGGAUAACUUCGGGAAACCGGAGCUAAUACCGGAUAAUAUAUUGAACCGCAUGGUUCAAUAGUGAAAGACGGUUUUGCUGUCACUUAUAGAUGGAUCCGCGCCGCAUUAGCUAGUUGGUAAGGUAACGGCUUACCAAGGCAACGAUGCGUAGCCGACCUGAGAGGGUGAUCGGCCACACUGGAACUUAGACACGGUCCAGACUCCUACGGGAGGCAGCAGUAGGGAAUCUUCCGCAAUGGGCGAAAGCCUGACGGAGCAACGCCGCGUGAGUGAUGAAGGUCUUCGGAUCGUAAAACUCUGUUAUUAGGGAAGAACAAAUGUGUAAGUAACUAUGCACGUCUUGACGGUACCUAAUCAGAAAGCCACGGCUAACUACGUG
rnacentral:rRNA from 1 species